rnacentral:rRNA from 1 species
GUGAGGAAUAUUGGUCAAUGGACGCGAGUCUGAACCAGCCAAGUCGCGUGCGGGAAGAAGGCCCUCCGGGUCGUAAACCGCUUUAGCCGGGGAGUAACGUGGGGGACGCGUCCCUCAGUGAGAGUACCCGGAGAAUAAGCAUCGGCUAACUCCGUGCCAGCAGCCGCGGUAAUACGGAGGAUGCGAGCGUUAUCCGGAUUUAUUGGGUUUAAAGGGUGCGCAGGCGGCAUGUCAAGUCAGCGGUCAAAAUGCGGCGCUCAACGCCGUACCGCCGUUGAAACUGGCGCGCUGGAGUUUGUGCGAGGAUGGCGGAAUGCGCGGUGUAGCGGUGAAAUGCAUAGAUAUCGCGCAGAACCCCGAUUGCGAAGGCAGCUGUCCAGCACACUACUGACGCUCAUGCACGAAAGCGUGGGUAUCGAACAGG